rnacentral:rRNA from 1 species
UACAGAGGGUGCGAGCGUUAAUCGGAAUUACUGGGCGUAAAGCGCGCGUAGGCGGCUUUGCAAGUCGGGUGUGAAAUCCCCAGGCUUAACCUGGGAACUGCAUUCGAGACUGCGUUGCUAGAGUAUGGGAGAGGGAAGUGGAAUUUCCGGUGUAGCGGUGAAAUGCGUAGAUAUCGGAAGGAACAUCAGUGGCGAAAGCGACCUCCUGGACCAAUACUGACGCUCAUGUGCGAAAGCGUGGGUAGCAAUCAGG